ensembl:lncRNA
GUCCGCUUUAUGUUCUUCAAAGAACUGCAACAAUAAAAAUAAAAGUAAAAUACGGUAGAAAAUGUAUAAAAUUAAAAGGCUAAACAAACAGUUUUAUGAACAAUACCACAGCUCAAUGCUUCUUCUUUACUUCAGAUAUAGAGCAUAGAGGAGACGGAAGAGAGGAAGAGAGGGGUAGACUAGAGGGAGAGAGGAAGAGAGGGGUAGACUAGAGGGAGAGAGGAAGAGAGGGGUAGACUAGAGGGAGAGAGGAAGAGAGGGGUAGACUAGAGGGAGAGAAGAGAAGGGGUAGACUAGAGGGAGAGAGGAAGAGAGGGGGUAGACUAGAGGGAGAGAAGAGAAGGGUUAGACUAGAGGGAGAGAGGAAGAGAGGGGUAGACUAGAGGGAGAGAAGAGAAGGGGUAGACUAGAGGGAGAGGGGAUAGACUAGAGGGAGAGAAGAGAAGGGUUAGACUAGAGGGAGAGAAGAGAAGGGGUAGACUAGAGGGAGAGAGGGGGUAGACUAGAGGGAGAGAAGGGAAGGGGUAGACUAGAGGGAGAGAGGGGGUAGACUACAGGGAGAGAGGGGGUAGACUACAGGGAGAGAAGGGAAGGGGUAGACUACAGGGAGAGGAACAGAGAGAAAUAGAGAUAUAUGGAAAGAUAAAGAGUUGGAGAGAGGGAAAUAAUUAGUUACAUUUUUCCGUUUAUUUACUACUUUUUCUUUAAUGAUUUAUGUCCCGCUCACAGUCUGAUUCCCAUGCAACCAUGUGAUUGGCUGGCAAUAUUGCUUGGAUGACCUGGGGGAGUUCACUGACAGCAGAUACAAAUACAAUGAGCAGAUCAGAAACAAUGGAGAGUUCUGCCCGUUCUGGACAGUGAAUUUCUAUCUGCUUUGUUCCUACAGUUAGCCCGUGUCUCAAAUGGCAGCCUGUGCACUACUUUUGACCAGAGCCACGUAGAUCAUAGGCCUCUGGUCUAAAGUCAUGCACUUUUAGAGGAAAAGGGUGCCAUUUAAGACACAUACAGUCUUACACGCUCUGAAUGACUUCAUACUCACCCCCUCAACCUUCUCCACAUCGCCCGCACUCACACACACACACACACACACACACCCCACACCCACACCCACACCCACCCACACCCACACACACACACACACACACACACACACACACACACACACCUGCCUGGCUGGGGUUGAUCACCUGGACAACGGGCGGGACAAUCAACCAAUGAGGUGAAGCAACAGGAUGCACGGAGAGGGAGGGCCAAUGACAGUAAAUUAACUCAAAUUCUCUUAGCCAAUGGCAUCAUGAACAGCUCUAUCGCUAUAGAAACACAUGAUAA